GUGUCAGCAGCCGCGGUAAUACGGAGGAUGCAAGCGUUAUCCGGAAUCAUUGGGCGUAAAGAGUCCGUAGGUGGCACUUCAAGUCUGCUUUCAAAGACCGAAGCUCAACUUCGGAAAGGGAGUGGAAACUGAAGAGCUAGAGUAUAGUAGGGGUAGAGGGAAUUCCUAGUGUAGCGGUGAAAUGCGUAGAGAUUAGGAAGAACACCAGUGGCGAAGGCGCUCUACUGGGCAUAUACUGACACUGAGGGACGAAAGCUAGGGGAGCGAAAGGGAUUAGAUACCCCUGUAGUCCUAGCGGUAAACGAUGGAUACUAGGCGUAGUGCUGUUAGAAGGACUGUGCCGAAGCUAACGCGUUAAGUAUCCCGCCUGGGGAGUACGCACGCAAGUGUGAAACUUAAAGGAAUUGACGGGG
rnacentral:rRNA from 1 species